UACUGUGCCUCAUGAAGCCAACUUGGAAUUAAGUCACAUUAGCUCAGAUGUGAAUGUUGUCAUAAAGGCUUAAUUUUGGUGGAAUUCUCAUAAAAAUGAAUAAUGAUGGUCAUCAAUGUAUAAAAACCACAGGAAGAUGCCCAGAGCAGUGCCUCGGGAAAUGGGAAUGAGACUGGUGUGAGAUAAUGUUUCCAUUAAUGAUGCACAAGUUAUCGUGGGGGGAGGCAGUUGCUCCAUACUGGAGGAAGACAGUAAAUCUUUUUCCAUUUUUUAUUUUGACCAUCUCUUGAACAGCUUGAAAUAAAGCAGAAGUGGCCCGGAAAUCGCUUGGACAUUUUGGAUUCCUUUAAGUCCUCUUUGUGGAAAUAAUCUCAUACCUAAGUUAAAAAUAAGUUGCAUUAACUUUUGAAGUUUGCUCCCUGCGGAAUGUGUAAGCCAGUUUGUGUUAACUAUUUUGCACCACCAUGUGUGAGAUAGCACAACAGGAUGAAAAUAGCUUCUCCAACGUGUGAGAGGGGCUGCCGCGCGGCAUUUGAAGCCUUGGCAAAGCACCUAAAUUCAUGUUCAGAAUCUCUUUCCUGAGAAGAUUGCUAAAGACUAGAAUCAGUUACUUUUGAAUAUUUGGAAAAAAAAUUGAAGGUUUGUGUUGGUGCUGGAAUGAACAAUCCUAGCGGCAGAGGCUGAAUUAAAUGAUUUUAAAAGCUAAUAAACAGAGAAGGGGGGUAUCUUCCUGUUUGUGAAGUGACCAGGACGGGUGGACUGGGUUCACCUUAUUCUUUUAAUCAGUCACUUUGGGACUUAAAAAAAUCGAGAAGAUGAAGGCGUAAGAGUUCAGCCUCUUCCUCCUUUCUAUCCCAGUUAAAGAGGAGCUGAAAUAGUACAUCUUAUUACGUCAUAGUGGGCUGUGUGACCUCAUAGCUAUUUUUAUUCUGUUUGUCCUGCCUUUGAUAACGGAGGGGCUGUCUUACAGCAUUCUGCCAGCUUCUGGGGCGGAGGUGAGGGCUGCACCUGCGAGUGGUGAGGAGCACUGCUGGGACGAUGAGUCUACUGGCUCAUUAUUAGAAGGGUGGGAAUGAAUGGGGACCCUUGCUACUGAGAAUGGAAGAAAGUACUGCAUGAAUCUGGCUUACAUUAGUUGGUGCCUUGGAUCAGGGCCAUGUUGCUAGUUUUAUGGGAAUCUACCAGAAUGUAGAUAUUGCAGAUAUGAUGAGUAUGGGCACUUGGCUGCUAUGUUGUUAGUUUUGUGAAAAUCUAGCGAAGGGUAAUUCUGAAGGGAUGAAGACUAUGGGCACUCGUUCUGACUAAAUCAUGCUCCUCUAAGAUGUCAAUUGCCCUAAUUCCUGGAACCUGUGGACAUGUUAGCUCAAAUGGUAAAAGGGACUUUGCAGAAGUGAUUAACUUAAGAAUCUGGAGAGGGAGAGAUGGUUAUGGAUCAUCUGGGUGGUCCUUGAAUAUCAUCGUCAGUAUCCUCAUAUGAGGGACUCAGAGGGAGAUUUUGCAGCAGCAACAGAGGAAGAGAUGAUGUGAAGCCAAAAGCUGAGAAUGGCGGGAAGUGCUUUGGAGGUGGAAGAAGAGUCCGAAAGGCAGGUAUGAAGGAGGUCAUUAGAAGUUGCAGAAAGCAAGGAAAUGCGUUCUCCCUUCAGAACUUCCAGAAAAAAACCAGCCCUGAUGACGUUGAUGUAAGCCCAGUGAGACACAUUUCAGACUGCUGACAUACAGACCUUGAAGAGCAUAAAUGUGUGGGAUUUUAAGCUUUUAAAUCUGUGUUAAUUUGUUACAGCACCAACAGGAAAUGAAUGAAAGCACUGCUAACAAAAGAUGUCCCCGUGUUCCUAAGACACCCAUGUGAGGAACAACAUGGUUACAUGGAAUUCCAUCAGCACAGUUAAAACCAUAGGUUCUAGAGCAAGAUUCUGGAAAGCUAAUACUGUGCACGUGAGCAGAAUUAAAGUUUCUAGGGUCUAAUACUGGUACUUAAAAUGCAGGAAGGCAAAUGAUCAGAACAAAAGAGAAUACACAAAGAAAGUAACUUUGAGUUUGACCAAAGUUUAUUUCACCUGAACACUAUAUUGGAAAGAAUGUCAAAGAACUUGGGCUACUGGGACAAACCCCUAAAACUUCAGGAUAUAAAAGAUUUAUUUAAAAAAAGUCUUUGAAGCAGAUUGGUAGCUUCCUCUACUAUCUAGAUGCCUGACCUCAGGUUAGCUUUCCUGGGAACCGACAAUCACUGGGUAAAACCUACUGUGGAACUGAAACUCUUAGAUCCCAGAAACUUAAUUAACUUUAAAGAAGCACUCAAGAAUGAUACAUCUUUUAAUAAAGAAGACACUGGACAAGGGAGAGUUUCACUCUUGAUGUGGUUACCAAUGAGUUUUUUUCCCUGACAGUUGUCUUGCUCAACAGGUGACUGAAGUCCAUGCAGAAAGAGCAGUGUGAGUUGAAACCAAAGGCUGCACCACAAGAACCAUCAAGAUCAAGAUCACUGGCGGAAGAAGACGCCAAGGAGGCAAG